rnacentral:RNase_P_RNA from 1 species
GACAGUCGGAUGAUUGCGGGAGGAAACUCACGAGGAAAGUCCGAGCACCAGAGAGCAAGGGCGCAGGGUAACGCCCUGUGAAGGCGACUUCAAGGAAAGUGCAACAGAAAUAAACCGCAACGGCUUGCCGUUGUAAGGGUGGAAAUGUAGGGUAAGAGCCUACAAACGCUAUGGCGACUGUGCGUUCAUGUAAACCCCGUCCGGUGCAAGAAAUGAGACCAAAUACCUGCUCGGUAUCUCGACACAUUCGCUUGAGGUCGGCGGUAACGCCGAUCCUAGAUAGAUGAUCAUCCAAGACAGAACUCGGCUUACAGACUGU